GGGCGCUUAGCUCAGCUGGUCAGAGCGCCUGCCUUACACGCAGGAGGUCGCUGGUUCGAGCCCAGCAGCGCCCA
rnacentral:tRNA from 1 species